rnacentral:tRNA from 1 species
GCGCCCGUAGCUCAGCUGGAUAGAGCGUUUGACUACGGAUCAAAAGGUCGAGGGUUCGAAUCCUUCCGGGCGCGCCA